AAUAGAUACCCGGUAGUCCAUGCCGUAAACGAUGUCUACUAGCCGUUGGGGCCCUUGAGGCUUUAGUGGCGCAGCUAACGCGAUAAGUAGACCGCCUGGGGAGUACGGUCGCAAGACUAAAACUCAAAUGAAUUGACGGGGGCCCGCACAAGCGGUGGAGCAUGUGGUUUAAUUCGAUGCAACGCGAAGAACCUUACCUGGCCUUGACAUACAGAGAACUUUCCAGAGAUGGAUUGGUGCCUUCGGGAACUCUGAUACAGGUGCUGCAUGGCUGUCGUCAGCUCGUGUCGUGAGAUGUUGGGUUAAGUCCCGCAACGAGCGCAACCCUUUUCCUUAUUUGCCAGCACUUCGGGGUGGGAACUUUAAGGAUACUGCCAGUGACAAACUGGAGGAAGGCGGGGACGACGUCAAGUCAUCAUGGCCCUUACGGCCAGGGCUACACACGUGCUACAAUGGUCGGUACAAAGGGUUGCUACUGCGCGAGCAGAUGCUAAUCUCAAAAACGCCGAUCGUAGUCCGGAUCGCAGU
rnacentral:rRNA from 1 species